rnacentral:piRNA from 1 species
UGCCAUGAUCCUAAACCUUGCCGUUAGCCGUA